rnacentral:rRNA from 1 species
UACGUAGGUCGCAAGCGUUGUCCGGAUUUACUGGGCGUAAAGAGCGCGCAGGCGGCUGGUCAAGUCCGAUGUGAAAUCUCCCGGCUCAACUGGGAAGCUGCAUCGGAAACUGAUCGGCUUGAAGAUGGGAGAGGGUAGUGGAAUUCCCGGUGUAGUGGUGAAAUGCGUAGAUAUCGGGAGGAACACCAGUGGCGAAGGCGACUACCUGGCCCAUUCUUGACGCUGAGGCGCGAAAGCUAGGGGAGCGAACGGG